GGCGGGCACCAUGGUCCCAGCUCAGGGCUGCAAGAAAUGGCAGAGCGCACAGGCGCGCACUCACCGACCAGGAAGCUAAGCGCUUAGGAGGAAGGCACUUGCGCAGGCAGGUGCACAGACGAAAAAGCUGGGGUGAGGAUCCUGUUGCCGCUCAUAAAUGGCAGUCACAACGGAACUUUAACCUGCUCCCCGUGGCUCAAUCUGAUCACGUACCUGCCUGUACACGUCUCAUCUCUAAUCUGAGGAUUAAAGCAUAGGAGAUUCUUCCUACUCCUGGACCCUUCCCUUCAACUCCUUGACAACGUUUUC